AUACAUGAGCAAAAUCUCAACUGAUUUAGAAGAGAAGCAUUUAUUAGAUAAAAAACCAAUAUAUGUUUUUAAAGCAUAUAAGUUGGUGAUUUAGAAUAACUAAGCAAAUCGCACAGUGUAAACUGGCGAUAAAUCAUUCAAGUUUCUGACCUAUCAGCUUUCGACGGUAAGGUAUUGGCUUACCGUGGCAGUGACGGUUAACGGGGAAUUAGGGUUCAAUUCCGGAGAGGGAGCCUGAGAAACGGCUACCACAUCUAAGGAAGGCAGCAGGCGCGCAAAUUACCCAAUUCUAAUAGCAUAAGAGAGGUAGUGACAAGAAAUAACAGUACAAGGCAGAUAAAAUGCUUUGUAAUUGGAAUGAUAGAAAUUUAAAUACUUUUUAAAGUAUCAAUUGGAGGGCAAGUCUGGUGCCAGCAGCCGCGGUAAUUCCAGCUCCAAUAGCGUAUAUUAAAAUUGUUGCAGUUAAAAAGCUCGUAGUUGAAUUUUUGCUAAAAAUAACCGGUCUGCUUUUAUUAAUAAAAGUGGUAUCUUGGUGUGUUUUUAGCAAUAAUGUCCUUUGAAAUGUGUUUUACUUUAUUGUAAAUAGCAAUUUUCAGGAUUUUUACUUUGAGAAAAUUAGAGUGUUUCAAGCAGGCUAACGUUUUGAAUACUGCAGCAUGGAAUAAUAAGA
rnacentral:rRNA from 1 species